GACAGAGGGUGCAAACGUUGUUCGGAAUUACUGGGCGUAAAGCGUGUGUAGGCGGUCUUGUAAGUCGGGUGUGAAAGCCCAGGGCUCAACCCUGGAAGUGCACUCGAAACUGCAAGGCUAGAGUACCGGAGAGGUUGGUGGAAUUCUCGGUGUAGAGGUGAAAUUCGUAGAUAUCGAGAGGAACACCGGCGGCGAAGGCGGCCAACUGGACGAGUACUGACGCUGAGACACGAAAGCGUGGGGAGCAAACA
rnacentral:rRNA from 1 species